rnacentral:pre_miRNA from 10 species
AUGUAGCGCAAUCUGUCUUUAGGUAGGGAUAAAUUACUCUAAAACAAAAAACAAUCCUAGAUAGUUUUCCCUUCAAGUCAAGUGUCUUGU